UGCCGGGUCACACACCCAGAGUCCUGCAAAACUUCAUCUCGUCGCUGAACACCAACAUCUUCAGGAAACCAACCGCUUCUCCCUCUUUGCUGAGAAAUCGCCAGGGCUUAAGUAACUGCCAUCUGUGACUGACCUGCUGGACACUUAACAAGGGUCUCCGAGGGUUUCGUUAAGUGUAAGGACCAAGCCUGAGAGGUGGAAUCCAAAGGAGGAAAAGGAGCUAAAUUAUGGAAGCGGGGAGAGGAAGCCUUCUCCCCAACAGAAGGAACAGCAGGUCAUGAUCCCGUGGUCAGGGAGAUGGAAUCCGGUCCUGUCUCGGGCUCUGCAGACGACACAGAGCCUGCUUGGGAUCCUCUCUGUCCCCGAAUAAAUGAAUAAAUAAACU